AGUGAACGCUGGCGGUAGGCCUAACACAUGCCAGUCGAACGGCAGCACAGGAGAGCUUGCUCUCUGGGUGGCGAGUGGCGGACGGGUGAGGAAUACAUCGGAAUCUACCUUUUCGUGGGGGAUAACGUAGGGAAACUUACGCUAAUACCGCAUACGACCUACGGGUGAAAGUGGGGGACCGCAAGGCCUCACGCGAUUAGCUGAGCCGAUGUCCGAUUAGCUAGUUGGCGGGGUAAUGGCCCACCAAGGCGACGAUCGGUAGCUGAUCUGAGAGGGUGAUCGGCCACACUGGAACGGAGACACGGUCCAGACUCCUACGGGAGGCAGCAGUGGGGAAUCUUCCGCAAUGGGCGAAAGCCUGACGGAGCAAUGCCGCGUGAGUGAUGAAGGUCUUCGGAUUGUAAAACUCUGUUAUUAGGGAAGAAAAUAUGUGUAAGUAACUGUGCACAUCUGGACGGUACCUAAUCAGAAAGCCACGGCUAACUACGUG
rnacentral:rRNA from 1 species